UAGUCCACGCCGUAAACGAUGACAACUAGCCGUUGGACUUUCGGGUUCAGUGGCACAGCUAACGCAUUAAAUUGUCCGCCUGGGGAGUACGGCCGCAAGGCUAAAACUCGAAUGAAUUGACGGGGCCCGCACAAGCGGUGGAGCAUGUGGUUUAAUUCGAUGCAACGCGAAAACCUUACCAACCCUUGACAUCUAGUGAAAUUUCUAGAGAUAGAUUUGUGCCUUCGGGAACACUAAGACAGGUGUUGCAUGGCUGUCGUCAGCUCGUGUCGUGAGAUGUAUGGUUAAGUCCAGUAACGAGCGCAACCCUUAUCCUUAUUUGCCAGCACUUCGGGUGGGAACUCUAAGGAGACUGCCGUGAAUAACACGGAGGAAGGUGGGGACGACGUCAAGUCAUCAUGGCCCUUA
rnacentral:rRNA from 1 species